rnacentral:rRNA from 1 species
UACGGGGGGGGCAAGCGUUGUUCGGAAUUACUGGGCGUAAAGGGCUCGUAGGCGGCCAACUAAGUCAGACGUGAAAUCCCUCGGCUUAACCGGGGAACUGCGUCUGAUACUGGACGGCUUGAAUCCGGGAGAGGGAUGCAGAAUUCCAGGUGUAGCGGUGAAAUGCGUAGAUAUCUGGAGGAAUACCGGUGGCGAAGGCGGGUCUCUGGGCAAUAACUGACGCUGAGGAGCGAAAGCGUGGGAGCGAACAGG